ensembl:lncRNA
AUCCCACUUGGCUAAAGAGGAUUCUGGUCCUGUGACACUAAGGCACACCUGGUUGGUCCUAGAGAGAUAGAUGUCUUCCUCUGCGUGUCUGUCCCUCUCUCUACCCCUCGCUGUCACACAUUCCUCGUCAGGAUCAGGUUCUCAACAGCAGGACGCCAAUGCAGUGCCUCCCAUCCUCCGCCCUUGCAAGAAGCCGGGAGUGGGCGGCGGUCGGCCUCCCAUCCUUAGUGUGUGUGGAAUAGAAGGGUAAAGACCACCGAGAAGGAAAUGGCACCCCACUCCAGUCCUCUUGCCUGGAAAAUCCCAUGGAUGGAGGAGCCUGGUGGGCUGCAGUCCAUGGGGUCGCGAACAGUCCAGCACGACUGAGCGAAUUCACUUUCACUUUUCACUUUCCUGCAUUGGAGAAGGAAAUGGCAACCCACUCCAGUGUUCUUGCCUGGAGAAUCCUGGGGACGGGAGAGCCUGGUGGGCUGCCGUUUAUGGGGUCGCACAGAGUCAGACACGACUGAAGCGACUUAGCAGCAGCAGCAGACCACCGAGAGGAGUCCUCCAGCGUCCUACAGAGCCUACCCGCCCUUCAGGGGUGAGGAGUUGGCGGGCCUGGUUUUGACGUCACAAAGAUGGGACAUUUACUCCUCCCUUCCUUAUAGAAGGACCUUCCUGCGUAUUCCCUGGGUUGUAGUGGAUUGAGAGGGAGCCUGGAAUGGCCUGAAGACAAGUUCCAUUUUUACUCUGGAAAUAAUCGACACUUGAACAUCACUGUAUAGUUCUCAAAAGGUUUUUUUUUUUUUUUGGUAAUUUAAAUGAAGGCAGCAAAAAGGAGUCAUUAUCGCAGAAUAGGAUCAUCAUCCUCUUCAAUUCAGGAAACUAAGUCACGCAGACUGUGUCUCCACCAGGUGCCAUCAACCCAUGGAAGAAACUGCCAGUUCCUGUGAUGGCCAGUGGAGGGAGCGACCCCACUGCUGCUUCUACUUGCUACAGAUUCAACUGUGAUGACUGACUUCCUUCACUACAACUCCUCUGAGCAGAACACACCUAAAUAUGAAAUGAAGUAUGUGCCUGUGCACGUGGCAGUCAUCUGCUUGCAGGGGACAGUUCCGAUCAUCCCUAACCAAUCCAGCCACAGUUGGAGGAGACAUAGCAUCUGGUCCCUGCUUAGAACUACUUCCUCAGUGAAUGAAGGACCGGGACUCAAGGUAAAUUCUCAGUCAAUAAACGUAGCUCUUCGUGGACCAGUUACUUUUGUGUUAAUAAUGACACAGGAGAAUGGAGUAAGCAGGACAUCUGUGGAAUCAGAUUCUCCUCCCUUUGGGGGUGGGGAUUGGAGUGCAUGUUUCCUAUGACCCCUAAUUCUGGAAACUCCUGACCAAAGAGGCUGCAAGGUUCAUUACACACAUGUGGGUCACACUGUUGCCUCAUCAGCCACAGUUGUAGCCUCACAGUGGAACUGGGGUCAAGAUCCUGAGAGCACCAUUCAGGUCACUUAACGUUUCCGAAGGACCAAGUGGCAAUGUAGGCCCCGCAACUAUGUGUCCAGACGAUGGACAGUUGAAUGACAUCAGGCUGCUAGUGGAGUCUCUGACACUG